rnacentral:rRNA from 1 species
GACGAACGCUGGCGGCGUGCCUAAUACAUGCAAGUAGAACGCUGAAGGAGGAGCUUGCUUCUCUGGAUGAGUUGCGAACGGGUGAGUAACGCGUAGGUAACCUGCCUGGUAGCGGGGGAUAACUAUUGGAAACGAUAGCUAAUACCGCAUAAGAGUAGAUGUUGCAUGACAUUUGCUUAAAAGGUGCAAUUGCAUCACUACCAGAUGGACCUGCGUUGUAUUAGCUAGUUGGUGGGGUAACGGCUCACCAAGGCGACGAUACAUAGCCGACCUGAGAGGGGGAUCGGCCACACUGGGACUGAGACACGGCCCAGACUCCUACGGGAGGCAGCAGUAGGGAAUCUUCGGCAAUGGACGGAAGUCUGACCGAGCAACGCCGCGUGAGUGAAGAAGGGUUUCGGAUCGUAAAGAUCUGUUGUAAGAGAAGAACGAGGGUGAGAGUGGAAAGUUCACACUGUGACGGUAUCUUACCAGAAAGGGACGGCUAACUACGUG